rnacentral:rRNA from 1 species
GAUGAACGCUAGCGAUAGGCCUAACACAUGCAAGUCGAGGGGCAUCACAUGAAGUAGCAAUACGGAUGGUGGCGACCGGCGCACGGGUGAGUAACACGUAUGCAACCUGCCUUCAACAAGGGGAUAACCCGUUGAAAGACGGACUAAUACCCUAUAACACAGGGGUCCCGCAUGGGAAUAUUUGUUAAAGGACAACCGGUUGAAGAUGGGCAUGCGUUCCAUUAGCUAGUUGGCGGGUAACGGCCCACCAAGGCAACGAUGGAUAGGGGAACUGAGAGGUUUAUCCCCCACACUGGUACUGAGACACGGACCAGACUCCUACGGGAGGCAGCAGUGAGGAAUAUUGGUCAAUGGACGCAAGUCUGAACCAGCCACGUCGCGUGAAGGAAGACGGCCCUACGGGUUGUAAACUUCUUUUAUACGGGAAUAAAGUGCCCCACGCGUGGGGUUUUGCAUGUACCGUAUGAAUAAGGAUCGGCUAACUCCGUG